GUACAACAUAUAAUAGUAGUACCAGGUCAACAUGUAAUAAGAGUUGGGAGACAUUACUUUGUGGGAUAUCUAUAAAACUAAGCGUCCUUAACGGUCAGUAUUUCCGCAGUGUCAGGGUUCGGUUCACCUAUUACACUGUUGCAUAUCCACUGACAGAGUAAAGCCAGGAAUGGUCCGGGAAGCAUCAGUCUGUCUUCCACAAGCCCAGUCCUGGGUGUUAGCAGAGACCCUGUGCAAUGGUUUCAUGGGAUUCUCCAACUCAUAAGCAAGGGCAAGCAAAGUGCACCUCCUAGGAUCCCGCAUCACUAUGGCAACAGGAGGUUUGCAGGCACUGACAGAUGUGAACUAAUACUGGGCAGCUCCAAGUAGAUCCAACUUGGAAUUGACAGAGCCCAGUAAGAGUCGCUGACCCAUCAAGACUCUUUUUGUCGUUGGUGGGGUUAUGAUAAAGCCGGGAACCUUCCUAGGAACAGUAGACAGAAUAUCAAACCCGGCACGUGCUCGACCCUUAGGGCUGCGGACCCCCGCCUCUCUCGGCGCUACUCUGGCGUCACCAUGGCUACUCCAGGACGAGGCCAAGUUUUCUCGGCCCCUUUAAGAGAACAGACUGCUACCCGAGAGCGCCUUCCCGCGCCUGUAGGAGCUUGCGUCACCAUGGGUUCUCUAUACAAAGGAGAUUAGCUGUCUGUAGCCUCUACAGGUGAGGUGGUGAAUUCAGCAAAAAUGAUCUCCUCAUCAGGAACAGCGGGAGCAAGCGGCAGCUGCUGAGACCCUGACAGGCGCUGGUGCUGUGCGAUUCUGAGAUUGGAGAGGAAGUUUCCUGAUGUGUACUCUAAUCUCUAGUAAAUGAAACACCAAUGUGCUUGAGGGUACAGUGAAACUGUUUCUACCACAAAUAAAAACCACCGAGGAA